rnacentral:tRNA from 1 species
AAUUCAGUAAUUUAGCAUGGUCAAGCUACCGUCAUGGGGUGUCGGGGGUCGGAGGUUCAAAUCCUCUCAGUCCGACCA